UUUCAGCUAAUUCUUUGGCCUAAAAACUACCACUUUCAAGUAGUGGUCCUUCUAUAUGAUCUACACGCGUUUAUGACAAGGGAAGCUCACCUGUCAGGACAGACGUGGUGAAAAAGUCAACUCUAUUUAUUUUUAUUAUUAUAUUUACUGUUAUUACAGAUAGAACUCACACGUCAUCAUAAACCUUUCUCUUCACCCUCUUUCUAUUUUACAUUUCAGCAAGCAUCAUGUGUACAUCGGACAGCACCACCACAGACCACGUGGACGCUUGCGAGAGGAACAGCUGCAGCAGUGGUCGCUUGCGAGAGGAGCAGCUGCAGCAGUGGAUGCAGGUUCUUGUGAGGGAGUUGCCGUCGAAAUCAAGAACCCAUCGGGACAUUUCACACUGCUCCCUCCAUUCUUAAAUACAAUAUUUUUAAAAAUAAUUAUUAAAAAUACAUAUAAUGUACUCCCAUCCAUUUCUAAAUACGAAGUAUAAGUCUUUUAAGAAGUUUCACUAAAGCGACUAUAUACGAAUGUAUAUAUAGACAUAUUUUAAAAUAUAUAUCUAUCCAUUUUAUUUUGUAUGUAGUCUUUUAAUAAAAUUUCUAAAAAAAAUUAUAUUUAAAAAUGAAGGGAGUAGCUUAUAAUAAAAAAAUUAAAAGGUUCCAUUUUAGAAAGGGAGGGAGUAGAAGAUAUAUGUGACCAGGACACUUAACACGUAAGCUACCCAUCUUGGGUGGCGAAUCGAACUAGACGGAUUAGGCCGCCUGACCUUCUCCGCGGUUGAACUGCUUUAUCUUCUCCUCGAUGUACUUCCUGAUGUCUUCGGCCGAGAACACGCGACGAGGUCUCGGCGGCAGCAGACCGGAAGAGCGGCCGUCGUUUGUGGCUGCUAGUUUCUCGACCUUCUCGACCCUCACCUCGCCGCCGUCUGCCCAAGCGGCGGCGCCCGUGUCACGAGGCAUCUCAGUCUUGUUUUACUUCUGUCGAGACGAGGAUCGCAGCAGCUAACUAGCUAAUCUGGGUUCGUUGUUGUGCUACCUUGCUUUGCUUGGCAC
rnacentral:lncRNA from 1 species